rnacentral:lncRNA from 1 species
CAGAAUUCAAGAUUUCAACUUCGGUUCUCUCCUUCUUUUCCCUUUUUCUUUUAUUUUUCUGUUUUUAAUUCAGCCAAUGAGUGGCUGAUUUCUUUAACUCUAGUUGAGGAUUGGUUGAAACUAAGGUUGUUUAAUGGGUUGUGAGAUCUGAACAUAAAUUAUUGUCUUUGGUUUUGUUCAAUAUUCAUGCAAUUGAUGCUUUAAUUA